rnacentral:lncRNA from 1 species
CGGUACCAAAACAAAAUGAAACAGAAACCCAAAGGACACACACGAAACCCUAAAUAAACCCUCAAGUUUGGUCUCGGGGGUUUACAUAUCACAAGAACCGUCAACUCAACCCCCAUGCAAUGUGACUCCUCGUGAACUGUUGGACCCACACCAACAAGAAAGGAGACCGCCAACAACAUCUUUUGUUAACACAGCGAGUGUGACACUAGGUAACUUUUUUUUUUAAAUACAGUACAUGGUACACAGGGUCCCCAGAUGGCCCUGCAUAAACCCCCGUGAAGACUUGAGCCAAGCACUGGCUGUUUAUAAAAAUAUUGUGUUGCUACAAAAGUAUAAAUUAAUGCUACCGGUAUUAAGAAAUAUUAAACACAUAAAACUUAUAAGGAUUAAGAAAAAUAUUCAUUAAUACCUGUAGAAAACUCUGGCCUAAAAAAGAUAUUUUUUUGUGUUUGUUUUUUUGUAAAUUUUUUUUGUUUUUUGUUUUUUUUUUUAAGAUGACUUGAGUUUCUUGCACUCGAAGAGAGAGACACAGUCAGAUGUGCCUAUGGUAUUGCCUAGAAUGUCUUAACUACUGAAGAGGGGUGGGGAGCACACAUGUGGAUACUGACUGGGGGCAGGCGGGAGCGGGCACCAAGGCGUUCUCAAGAUUUACCUGAUGUGAACAAAUCACCGACGUGAAGUUGUGGGGCAAAGUAAAAGGUGGGAUCAGAAAACUGAAAAUAAUUUACGCUUCUUAAAAAAUAUCUCUGCUUUGGGUGGUUGUACAAAAUGAUUUCCUGAUGCUUGGGAUGUGGAUGGCCCUGCCGCGGGGCUCUUGCUCUCUCCUGGCUGGCGAGGCCCAGCCCAUGUCGGUCCAUGAGCUCGCUUGCCCCUUGGGAAGGCACCCACCCUGGCUGGGCAGCCGGAGGUCCUAGGAAGAGACCGGCUGGCACUGGGUUGUGGGAGGAGCCCUUCCUUCCGGCAGGUCUCAGACCGCAUGGUCUUGGCCAACCGGGAUUUCAGGCUGUGCCACAGAAAUCCCAGGCCCCUGAGGUUGAGGACAAGGCUGGGCUGUGCCCUUUUAAGGAACUUUGGUUCGAAGAGUCAAGGUGCCCAGUGGGACGCUUGGGUGGGCAGGACCCUGCUGGGUCAUGAUGCUAAUGCCCGGAUGCAAACCUGGCAAAUCCUCGGUACAGGAGCUGAAUCUUCACAGCAUCGCCCGUGGUAGCGGUGGGGGCGGGUGCCUGAAGGUGGCAGACAGUGAUUCAGAGCUGCUCCCUCAUCCCCGUGGGAGUAGGCGCCUUUUCAUACAGAAACCUCAAGGCUCCUUGGGUAGAAGCCAGGGCUCUCCCGACCACGAUCUUUAGACCCAAAUGAGAGAGGAAGAAAACAACAAGAACAACAAAAUCCCCCCCACCCCCAAACCCUGCAAAGGGGAGACCUGGAGGGAAAUGUAAGAGGGAAAACACCGUUAUCAUUGGUUCACCAUAACUGGCCUAGCAAACAUUUGCCACAGUGAAGAGGGACGGCUCCUUCCUGGAUGGACCACAACCCAGCAGGGGGCAGGGCUGGCAGGGCAGGGACCAGAGCCCCCGCUGCUGUCUCUGGGGCACAGCCUGAGCCUCACGCAGUCUCUCGGUUCUGUCCAAACUACAGCCUUCCCAGGAAUCCUCCAAUACAUCCCAGAGAUAGUGUCAUUGCCACGCUCCCAAGGCCAGGGCGAUGCUCAGCAUCCAGUGCAGCUUAUGAGAGAGCCCAGCCACCAUGCCCUCAGCCCCUCCUCUUCAAGCACAGCAUGACGAUAAUGACCCUGCUGAGCAUCUCACAGGCUUCUGUUUUCUGUUUGGCCUGGCUCCACUGCAAACCUUCUGGUUACCCUGUGGCCCUAGAUAGUACAUGCAACACCUCUGACGUCUCUCCAGGUGCCCACUCUUCAAGGAGUCAAGCCCAAGUCUGAGGUAAGGAGGUGUUAAGAACAGGGGGCUCCUAAAGGCAGAGGUUUUAGCUUCACAGUGGCUAAUCUGUUGUUUCUAGAAAGUGCGAGAGCUUAACAGCUCAAACUGAC